UACGUGAUAUGGGAACAGACAUACGUCUU
rnacentral:sRNA from 1 species